rnacentral:misc_RNA from 1 species
AGAGAUCGCAGCCUGCGGCAGCUCCUACAGGAGUACCCGUUUCCCCCUGUAGGAGCUGCCGCAGGCUGCGAUCUUU